rnacentral:misc_RNA from 1 species
AUGAAAUGCUUACAGCAAACCCAAGAAGAGCGAGAUUAUUCCAUGAUAGCUCUUUAUCCAAUGAAGACACUUAUGAACCUUUCCUCAGAUUUCUUUGGAAAGGUAAUUGGUUCAUCCAAGAGAAGAGCUGUAAGAUUCUCUCUUUGAUAGUGAGUGCCAGGCCAAAUGUUCAGAAUGUUGCUGAUGCAAAUGGAGAUGCCUCGAGUUCAAAGAGGACACUCACCACUAUGGAAAAUAUUCUGAAUGGCCUAGUAGAUUGGCUAUGCUCACAGCUGAGAAAGCCUUCUCAUCCUAGUUGUAGCAUUCCCUCUGCAAUCAAUUGUCUUGCAACACUGUUGAAGGAGCCUGUUGUUCGACGUUCAUUUGUUCAAUCUGAUGGAGUGAAGCUGCUCAUUCCUUUAAUUUCACCAGCAUCUACUCAGCAGUCCAUUCAGCUUCUCUACGAGACAUGUCUAUGCGUUUGGCUUCUGUCUUACUAUGAACCUGCAAUUGAGUACUUGGCUACUUCUAGGGCCCUACCUCGAUUGAUUGAAGUUGUUAAAGGUUCGACAAAGGAGAAGGUAGUCAGAGUUGUCAUCUUGACUCUUAGGAAUUUGCUUGCCAGAGGGUCAUUUGGUUCUCAAAUGGUAGACCUGGAUGUGCUGCAAAUUGUACAGAGCUUGAAAGCGCAGGCCUGGAGUGAUGAGGACCUUUUGGACGCUCUGAAUCAACUUGAAGGAGGAUUGAAGGCCAACAUCAAAAAAAUGAGUUCGUACGAUAAGUACAAGCAGGAAGUCCUACUUGGCAGUCUUGAUUGGUCCCCCAUGCAUAAAGAUCCUCUAUUCUGGAAGGAAAAUAUAACUUGUUUCGAGGAGAACGGAUUUCAGAUUUUGAGAGUGCUCAUGACGAUUUUGGAUACAUCAAAUGAUUCAAGGACACUUGCUGUAGCUUGCUAUGACUUGUCACAGUUCAUUCAGUGCCAUCCUGCCGGGCGAGUCAUAGUGGCUGACCUCAAAGCUAAGGAACGGGUAAUGAAACUAUUGAACCACGGAACUGCAGAGGUCACGAAAAACGCCCUGCUUUGCAUCCAGAGGCUUUUCUUAGGCGCCAAAUACGCCAGCUUUUUGCACGCUUAAAUUAUCUUCAAAUGGCUCCAUUCUUUGAGACAAACUAUACAUAUUUUGUUAUUUCAAAUGACACAAGUUUGAGAGUGGUCCUGUUCUAUUUAUUCAUUUUUUCUUUGUCCGAUGAAAUCGGACGGACAUGGACUGUGAGGACUCAUAUAGCCGACUUCAAGUUGUUUGACG